rnacentral:rRNA from 1 species
UACGGAGGGGGCGAGUGUUGUUCGGAAUUACUGGGCGUAAAGGGCGCGCAGGCGGCAUGGCAAGUCGAGUGUGAAAUCCCCCGGCUUAACUGGGGAAUGGCGCUCGAAACUACCGCGCUGGAGGGCGGGAGAGGGAAGUGGAACUCUCGGUGUAGGGGUGAAAUCUGUAGAUAUCGAGAGGAACACCGGUGGCGAAGGCGGCUUCCUGGCCCGUACCUGACGCUGAGGCGCGAAAGCGUGGGGAGCAAACAGG